rnacentral:rRNA from 1 species
AGCGAACGCUGGCGGCAGGCCUAACACAUGCAAGUCGAACGAACUCUUCGGAGUUAGUGGCGGACGGGUGAGUAACACGUGGGAACGUGCCUUUUGGUUCGGAAUAACUCAGGGAAACUUGUGCUAAUACCGAAUGUGCCCUUCGGGGGAAAGAUUUAUCGCCAUUAGAGCGGCCCGCGUCUGAUUAGCUAGUUGGUGAGGUAACGGCUCACCAAGGCGACGAUCAGUAGCUGGUCUGAGAGGAUGACCAGCCACACUGGGCCUGAGACACGGCCCAGACUCCUACGGGAGGGAGCAGUGGGGAAUCUUGCGCAAUGGGCGAAAGCCUGACGCAGCCAUGCCGCGUGAAUGAUGAAGGUCUUAGGAUUGUAAAAUUCUUUCACCGGGGACGAUAAUGACGGUACCCGGAGAAGAAGCCCCGGCUAACUUCGUG